UGGGGAAUAUUGGGCAAUGGGGGCAACCCUGACCCAGCGACGCCGCGUGAGGGAAGAAGGUUUUCGGAUUGUAAACCUCUGUCUUCGGGGAUGAACAAAAUGACAGUACCCGAGGAGGAAGCCACGGCUAACUACGUGCCAGCAGCCGCGGUAAUACGUAGGUGGCAAGCGUUGUCCGGAAUUACUGGGUGUAAAGGGAGCGUAGGCGGGUAGGCAAGUUGAAUGUUAAACUUAUGGGCUCAACCCAUAAUUGCGUUCAAAACUGCAGAUCUUGAGUGAAGUAGAGGCAAGCGGAAUUCCUAGUGUAGCGGUGAAAUGCGUAGAUAUUAGGAGGAACACCAGUGGCGAAGGCGGCUUGCUGGGCUUUUACUGACGCUGAGGCUCGAAAGCAUGGGGAGCAAACA
rnacentral:rRNA from 1 species